AUUGAACGCUGGCGGCAUGCCUUACACAUGCAAGUCGAACGGCAGCACGGGUGCUUGCCCCUGGUGGCGAGUGGCGCACGGGUGAGUAAUACAUCGGAACAUGUCCUGUAGUGGGGGAUAGCCCGGCGAAAGCCGGAUUAAUACCGCAUACGAUCUACGGAUGACAGCGGGGGACCUUCGGGCCUCGCGCUAUAGGGUUGGCCGAUGGCUGAUUAGCUAGUUGGUGGGGUAAAGGCCUACCAAGGCGACGAUCAGUAGCUGGUCUGAGAGGACGACCAGCCACACUGGGACUGAGACACGGCCCAGACUCCUACGGGAGGCAGCAGUGGGGAAUUUUGGACAAUGGGCGAAAGCCUGAUCCAGCAAUGCCGCGUGAGUGAAGAAGGCCUUCGGGUUGUAAAGCACUUUUGUCCGGAAAGAAAUCCUUGGCCCUAAUACGGGCGGGGGAUGACGGUACCGGAAGAAUAAGCACCGGCUAACUACGUG
rnacentral:rRNA from 1 species